UAAUUUGCCUUUGGGUGGGGAAUAACUCAGGGAAACUUGAGCUAAUACCGCAUAAUGCAGCGGCUCGACAUCGAGGCAGUUGUUAAAGCGGGGGAUCGCAAGACCUCGCGCCUGAAGAGAAGCCUGCGGCAGAUUAGCUAGUUGGUAAGGUAAUGGCUUACCAAGGCAACGAUCUGUAACCGGCCUGAGAGGGCGGUCGGUCACACUGACACUGAAUAACGGGUCAG
rnacentral:rRNA from 1 species